UAUCAGACAAAAGAAUUCUUCACUGAGAACGACAUGAAUAACCAUUUCUUUGAAGUGUUUCCUGCAAAUACUCCUCUGCCAGAAGUCAUGAAGUGAUAACACUCCCACACUUCUUACUAGCCUUUAUGGGAAACCAGUUAUAGUGAUCUGGACGACGUCCAGGAAAAAAGCCAGCAAUAAAGUACUGUGGAUGGCCAAAG